GCUGUGUUGGUGAGCACAUUGCCAAUGUCUCCCACGGCUGGACUCACUGCCACCCUGCCUCAUGCACUGACGGUGGGCUCCGGCCCUCCCUGACCAACACCCCAGGCCNNNNNNNNNNNNNNNNNNNNNNNNNNCUGAGUCCUCUCCUAGGGCCUGUCUGCUUGUGACUCAGCACUUGGCCACUCCCAGUUCUGUGGUGCUGCCUGCCUGGUAAGCACACUGACAGUGUCUCCCCGACCCGACUCGCUGUCCUCGUGUGUGUACUAACCAUGGUCUCCGUGAUUCCACCUGGAUCACACUCCAGGUGUCCCUGUCUGUCUCUGUGCAGCUGGGCCAAAUCUUUCCCCUGAUCUCCCUCCAGGCUGUGAUGUGGAAUGAGCAGGCUGGGAUGUUUGCCUGUUUGGAUUGGGUAGUGUGGUGAAGAGGCAGCUUCUAGUGCAAGGCUUUUUCUGCCCUUGUUGGCAAGCCAGCAUGGGAACACUCCUUGCAAGCAGAGUCUAGGCUUCUUCAGCCCUUCUGCUGGUCUCACUGGGUUUCCCAGCAGGCAAGCGGGCUUGCCUUCUCUGUACAGGAUCCCUGGGCUGGGAUGCCCAGACUAUGGGUCUAUUUGCUCCUUCCCCGAGGUAAGGGUCCACCUGUGUGUAUCUCCUGUUUCUUACAGAUUCCUGACAAGGGUGCCGGUCCUGACCUGAUGCCUUUUUUGCUAUCCUACCUAGUUAUGUGAAGGUCAUUCUUUCAGCCUUGGUUGCAUAGGGGAUCUUCUGCCAGGUUCCAGUUAGUUUUCUGGGAGAAUUGUUCUAUGUGUACAUGUACUUUUGAUGUAUUUGGUGGGGGAGGUAAGCUCCAUGCCCUCCUACUCUACUAUCUUGACCCCCUCUCCUGUUCUUAACUGCCAAUUUUCAGUGUGGAAUUCAAUUGUAGUAACUGGCUACUUCCUUUUAUGGCUACUAUGGGCUCAUGGGUUUUUAAUCCACUAAAUAUAUUGCCAAUAGUCAUUCUUUUUGUUCCAGAUAGCUUUUGAAGCAUCUUAAUUUACAUGAUACAUUUAUGUAAAGAAAAUGAUAAUUGUGCAUUUUGUAAUUGAAGCCAAAGGUCUUGUACUAAUUUCUCUUCUUAGAAGAGAAUAAUAUACAUUUUCUAUUAUUUAGGAGCUCCAAGAUUUUGGGCUCUGUUUGACUUUCCAGAACUCCUCCAAAUACACGCAGACUUUUGGUUGAUUUAGAUGUGAAUCUGGCUAUUUUGCAUUUGGUAAUGCAAUCCUUAGUGCUGUCUUUUGAGGAAUGUGAAUAACUGAGAUCAGAUCAUCUAUAACAAAUCUAUAGGUCAGAAAUUCUUUCAACACUUGUUUCUUACAGCAAAAACAUUCCUACCUAGAUUUAUGAAGCAUAGCUUCACUUUCAAACACACAGUAAGUUGAGGAUUGAUUCCUGUAGUACUGAACUUUGCAGUGUUUUCUUUUCAUAGAAGAGCCUCACUCUCAAGCCCUGCGUGGGUGCAUGUUUUCUGAAGGAUCUUCCUUAGACUCUUAGAAGCACUGCCUUCCUUAAAUGCACUCUCACCUGCUCUUUCAUGAAACUGAUGAACCCUUUCGUUUUUGUGCAUUCUGUCCAAGGAAGUCCUCCGUGCUGGAAAAGGGAGAAACUGCAAAACAGAAAACUCAGCAUUUGCAAGUAGACUAGAAAACAUCAUGAAUCACUAAUGCUCAAAAUGCAGUUGGCGAUUUUGCACCAAACACAAUUACCACGUGCCUUGGGAAGCAAGCCUAUUCUAUUGUUAAACUAAGAAAGCAUUCACUUCUAGUUUCUAUGACAGUAGAAAGUAAACACUCUACAGACUCAGAAGAGAGAAGUCUCCAAAGAGAUCUGAGAAAUGCUUAGAGAAUAGAGGAAGAAAAAAAAAAUAUAUAUAUAUACACACACUAUCUUCACAAAAUGUGAAGUCAUUAAGAAAAUGGAAAAGGACAUUCUUGUAACAUUUAAGAGAUUUGUACUUUCUUUUUUCUCUGAAGUGCAAAGAAGUUUGGAGACCCAAAGAACUCAGCAAUGCUUCCACUGUUGACUAACUCUUCUAUGAAAGAGUAGAAAUUAUCCUGGGCUAUGAUCUAGGGAUCUUAGCCUGAGCCUUGUAUUCCUAUCUCUAGUUUGGUAUUCCUCUUUUUAUAGAAAAAGAUUGUCCUUUCUUCCUUGCAUUUUCAUAAGCCCACAUGGAAAUUAUUUUGACACACCUGUCAAAAUAGUAA
rnacentral:lncRNA from 1 species